AGCAGUGUAGCAUAGUGGUAAGGUGCAGGGCUUGUAACCAUAAGGUUGCUGAUUCGAUUCCCCUGGUG
rnacentral:tRNA from 1 species